GACGAACGCUGGCGGCAUGCCUAACACAUGCAAGUCGAACGAGACCUUCGGGUCUAGUGGCGCACGGGUGCGUAACGCGUGGGAAUCUGCCCUUGGGUUCGGGAUAACAGUUGGAAACGACUGCUAAUACCGGAUGAUGUCUUCGGAACAAAGAUUUAUCGCCCAGGGAUGAGCCCGCGUCGGAUUAGCUAGUUGGUGAGGUAAAGGCUCACCAAGGCGACGAUCCGUAGCUGGUCUGAGAGGAUGACCAGCCACACUGGGACUGAGACACGGCCCAGACUCCUACGGGAGGCAGCAGUGGGGAAUAUUGGACAAUGGGCGAAAGCCUGAUCCAGCAAUGCCGCGUGAGUGAUGAAGGCCUUAGGGUUGUAAAGCUCUUUUACCCGGGAUGAUAAUGACAGUACCGGGAGAAUAAGCCCCGGCUAACUCCGUGCCAGCCGCCGCUGUAAAAC
rnacentral:rRNA from 1 species